AUUGAACGCUGGCGGCAUGCUUUACACAUGCAAGUCGAACGGCAGCGGGGGCUUCGGUCCGCCGGCGAGUGGCGAACGGGUGAGUAAUGCAUCGGAACGUGCCCAGUCGUGGGGGAUAACACAUCGAAAGAUGUGCUAAUACCGCAUACGUCCUGAGGGAGAAAGCGGGGGAUCUUCGGACCUUGCGCGAUUGAAUGAGCCGAUGCCCGAUUAGCUAGUUGGCGGGGUAAGAGCCCACCAAGGCGACGAUCGGUAGCUGGUCUGAGAGGAUGAUCAGCCACACUGGAACUGAGACACGGUCCAGACUCCUACGGGAGGCAGCAGUGGGGAAUAUUGGACAAUGGGCGCAAGCCUGAUCCAGCCAUACCGCGU
rnacentral:rRNA from 1 species